AUGUCCGUGGGAGAAUCCCUUGGUUCUCAUAGUCUGCAUUCAUUUGCAGAAUUCUUGCAGAGUCACAUCAAUUCACCUGAAGCAAGUUCUUGUCUGACUAGCCGCAAGAAGCCAUUGCACGUUCUGAAACCCUUCAGCUUAAACUUCAUGACAACUGAAAAGUCAGCACGAAAGGGAGGCAGACAGCGCCGUGGUAACACUUCAAAGGAUUUGCCUCCUGAUCUUCACGAGCUGUACAAAACUGAUCCUGAGGAAACCUAUACCGGCCGCAAGAAUCGAAUCCAGUGGAUUCGAAGAUAUUGGGCUGAAGAAUGGUUCAAAUACCGCUUCGUCACUGAAGAAUAUGCAGAGAAAAAUGCCAUCAAGACACCCUGGGGAGAUAUUGUGUACAAAAAUCUUCAACCCCAGUCUCUUUCCGAAGCCAUCCAACUGGAAUUCUAUCCUUGCAUGGUUCGCGGACCAGAGCUAGAGAAUGCUGACCCUUCUUCUCUGCUAUGGUGUCGCGAAGACCAUCUCUUUAAGCGCAAUUACCAGUUCGCCAAAGACUCAGCUGCGAAGAACAAGAAGGCUCUAGGGCUCAACUUCAACCCUUGUCCUUCCUCACCUCGGGAUGAUGGCACCCGCGAAGCCAAUGAGAAUAGGAUCGGUCCCUUCUACAACUUUGAAGGCCUCCUCGCUCACAUAGCUGUACAAGGUGCCAAGGUGGAUCAUUCUGAUGAUGAUGCUGACACAGAUGAAGCUCCUGCUCCUACUCCAAAGCCGCAGAAGCAAAAGAAUGCUAAAGCUUCAAAACCCUCUGCUGCACCAAAGGCUUCUCGAGUGAAGCCGUUGGCAACUGCCCCUCCUGCUCCAAGCAACGCCUCUGAAGAUCUCUCUCGCAUCUCUAAGAAGCGUGAGAAGCCACAGAAGAAACCUGUUCAGAGACUCAGUCAAGCACUGACACCAGCUGCCGUUCUGAGGAAUGAAUCUGAAGCCAUUGAUUUGUCUUCAGAUGAAGAAUUUGGUGAGGAUGCUCUGGAGCAGCUGAUCAAGAGCAAGCAAGAGGCGGAGAUCUUCAAUGAUCUGCCCCUCUUUGAUGUGAACAUCUUGCACAAUUUCAUUGAUGAGUGGUUCGACAAUCAAAAUCUCAGCUUUGAUGAUCUCCAACUCCCCAUUGGCAUCAGCGUCGCCUUCCAAGGCGCAAUUGCUCCUGAGCUGGCUCUGGCCCAGCGAAUUGUUGAACUGAAACACAAGAUUGAUUUCGAGAAGGAACAGUUCAAGAAGCAUGUGGCCAAGCUGAGUGUGGCUGAUGUCCAAAAAUUCAAGGUGAUGCUGAAUGACCUUAAAGAAGCCUUUCGCAAGAAGCGUGAAGAAGCCAAAGGCUCAAGAGAACGCAUGAAGAUUCUUGCUGCCAAAUGUGUUCAGGCUUACAACGAAGCUGAAAAGCGCAAGGCACUUGGGCGUCCUGGUAUUGACCCCAAGAUGGCUGUCAAGCAAAAGAAGAAGUCUACUGUGGCCCCCACUGAAGCUCCAAGGCGGGAAGAACCUCGCAUUGUCUUCCCUGCCAGCAUGAUAGGCUCGAAGCCUAAGGUCUCCACAGUGGCUUCAGAUCAGCAGAAGACCAAGGCCGCUGAAGCCGAAGCCAGAAAGCGCAAAAUCAAGCGCACUACUGAUGAUGCACCACCCCAAAGAAGAGAACGACCAAGAAGAAAGAUCGGGCUGCUUCCAGAGAGCCCCUAG
rnacentral:rRNA from 1 species